AUUGAACGCUGGCGGCAUGCCUUACACAUGCAAGUCGAACGGUAACGGGCCUUCGGGUGCCGACGAGUGGCGAACGGGUGAGUAAUGUAUCGGAACGUACCAUUGAGUGGGGGAUAACGUAGCGAAAGUUACGCUAAUACCGCAUAUUCUCUCCGGAGGAAAGCAGGGGACCGCAAGGCCUUGCGCUCUUUGAGCGGCCGAUAUCAGAUUGGCUUGUUGGUUGGGUAAGAGCCUACCAAGGCGACGAUCUGUAGCGGGUCUGAGAGGAUGAUCCGCCACACUGGAACUGAGACACGGUCGAGACUCCUACGGGAGGCAGCAGUGGGGAAUUUUGGACAAUGGGGGCAACCCUGAUCCAGCCAUGCCGCGUGAGUGAAGAAGGCCUUAGGGUUGUAAAGCUCUUUCAGCCGGGAAGAAAUCGCAUGGGUUAAUACCCUGUGCGGAUGACGGUACCGGAAUAAGAAGCACCGGCUAACUACGUGCCAGCCGCCGCAGUAAAAC
rnacentral:rRNA from 1 species